rnacentral:rRNA from 1 species
GUCCACGCAGUAAACGAUGAAUACUAGCUGUAUGCGAUAUACUGUAUGUGGCACAGCGAAAGCGUUAAGUAUUCCACCUGGGGAGUACGUUCGCAAGAAUGAAACUCAAAGGAAUUGACGGGGGCCCCGCACAAGCGGAGGAACAUGUGGUUUAAUUCGAUGAUACGCGAGGAACCUUACCCGGGCUUGAAAUGCAGAAGACCGAUCGGGAAACCGAUUUUCCAGCAAUGGCUUCUGUGUAGGUGCUGCAUGGUUGUCGU